rnacentral:rRNA from 1 species
CGCGAUUCGCCCUUCGGGGUGCAGCAGGCGCGAAAACUUUACAAUGCGGGAAACCGUGAUAAGGGGACACCGAGUGCCAGCAUCAUAUGCUGGCUGUCCAGGUGUGUAAAAUACACCUGUCAGCAAGGGCCGGGCAAGACCGGUGCCAGCCGCCGCGGUAACACCGGCGGCCCGAGUGGUGAUCGUGAUUAUUGGGUCUAAAGGGUCCGUAGCCGGUUUGGUCAGUCCUCCGGGAAAUCUGACGGCUCAACCGUUAGGCUUUCGGGGGAUACUGCCAGGCUUGGAACCGGGAGAGGUAAGAGGUACUACAGGGGUAGGAGUGAAAUCUUGUAAUCCCUGUGGGACCACCUGUGGCGAAGGCGUCUUACCAGAACGGGUUCGACGGUGAGGGACGAAAGCUGGGGGCACGAACCGGAUUAGAUACCCGGGUAGUCCCAGCCGUAAACGAUGCUCGCUAGGUGUCAGGCAUGGCGCGACCGUGUCUGGUGCCGCAGGGAAGCCGUGAAGCGAGCCACCUGGGAAGUACGGCCGCAAGGCUGAAACUUAAAGGAAUUGGCGGGGGAGCAC